UCGAGGGGUAACGGAAGUAGCUUGCUACUAGACGACGACCGGCGCACGGGUGAGUAACGCGUAUGUAAUCUGCCUUGUACAGAGGGAUAGCCCAGAGAAAUUUGGAUUAAUACCUCAUAGUAUUACCGAAUCGCAUGAUUUGGUAAUUAAAGCUCCGGCGGUACAAGAUGAACAUGCGUGACAUUAGCUAGUUGGUAAGGUAACGGCUUACCAAAGCCACGAUGUCUAGGGGUUCUGAGAGGAUGAUCCCCCACACUGGUACUGAGACACGGACCAGACUCCUACGGGAGGCAGCAGUGAGGAAUAUUGGUCAAUGGACGCAAGUCUGAACCAGCCAUCCCGCGUGAAGGAUGACUGCCCUAUGGGUUGUAAACUUCUUUUAUAUGCAAAUAAACCUACUUUCGUGAAAGUAGCUGAAGGUAGCAUAUGAAUAAACACCGGCUAACUCCGUGCCAGCAGCCGCGGUAAUACGGAGGGUGUAAGCGUUAUCCGGAUUUAUUGGGUUUAAAGGGUACGUAGGCGG
rnacentral:rRNA from 1 species